GGGCGUGUGGCCUAGUGGACCAGGGUGAGGGGUUCCUAACCCCUAGAUCGCGGGUUCGAAUCCCGCCGCGCCCG
rnacentral:tRNA from 1 species